rnacentral:rRNA from 1 species
UACGGAGGGUGCGAGCGUUAAUCGGAAUCACUGGGCGUAAAGCGCGCGUAGGCGGCUUUUCAAGUCAGGGGUGAAAUCCCACGGCCCAACCGUGGAACUGCCUUUGAAACUGUAGAGCUUGAGUGUCAGAGAGGGUGGCGGAAUUCCAGGUGUAGGAGUGAAAUCCGUAGAUAUCUGGAGGAACACCGGUGGCGAAGGCGGCCACCUGGACGACAACUGACGCUGAGGUGCGAAAGCGUGGGUAGCAAACAGG